rnacentral:rRNA from 1 species
AUACGGAGGAUGCGAGCGUUAUCCGGAUUUAUUGGGUUUAAAGGGAGCGUAGGCGGGAGCUUAAGUCAGCGGUUAAAUGGUGCGGCUCAACCGUGCCCUGCCGUUGAAACUGGGUUUCUUGAGAGUGCAAGAGGCCGAUGGAAUUCAUGGUGUAGCGGUGAAAUGCUUAGAUAUCAUGAAGAACUCCGAUUGCGAAGGCAGUCCGCUGGGGCACGUCUGACGCUGAUGCUCGAAGGUGCGGGAAUCAAACAGGAUUAGAUACCCUGGUAGUCCGCACGGUAAACGAUGAUUACCCGCUGUCGGCGGCCAAGCGAAAGCGAUAAGUAAUCCACCUGGGGAGUACGCCGGCAACGGUGAAACUCAAAGGAAUUGACGGGG